CUACGGGAGGCAGCAGUGGGGAAUUUUGGACAAUGGGGGCAACCCUGAUCCAGCCAUGCCGCGUGCGGGAAGAAGGCCUUCGGGUUGUAAACCGCUUUUAGUCGGGAAGAAAAGGCGCCGGAUAACACCUGGCGUUCUUGACGGUACCGGCGGAAUAAGCACCGGCUAACUACGUGCCAGCAGCCGCGGUAAUACGUAGGGUGCGAGCGUUAAUCGGAAUUACUGGGCGUAAAGCGUGCGCAGGCGGUUCGUUAAGUUUGCGGUGAAAGCCCCGGGCUCAACCUGGGAAUGGCCGUGGAAACUGGCGGGCUGGAGUGCGGCAGAGGGGGGUGGAAUUCCGCGUGUAGCAGUGAAAUGCGUAGAGAUGCGGAGGAACACCGAUGGCGAAGGCAGCCCCCUGGGCCGACACUGACGCUCAGGCACGAAAGCGUGGGGAGCAAACAGGAUUAGAAACCCGAGUAGUCC
rnacentral:rRNA from 1 species